rnacentral:ncRNA from 1 species
UCAGUUUGAUUCUAGCUGAGAACUUAGCUCUGUUGAACCAAUAUACAUGUAAGUCUUCGCUACCCCGCAGUGUGCUAAACCCUUUAAAAGUUUGCCCAUCUACAUCAAGACUUCUUUACGUAGAGAGCGCCACAGUAAUAAAUUCUAAGCAUUUGCAAAAACAAGAGUUGGGUAUCAACUUAAGAGUUGGCAAAAUUCGUGCCAGCCGCCGCGGUUAGACGACAAACUCAAGCUAAUUUAAAUAGACUAGAUGCAAGAUAAUUUAAACGGCCCCCUAGGUCUAAUUUUACAGCCUGGGAACCACACAUAUCUUAAAAUCAGGAAAUCUUAAACUAAAACACGGAUUAGAUACCCGUCUAUUUACGAAAUAUAUAAAGUCAAAAAAUACGAACAAUUGUUUAAAACUUAAAGAUUUUGGCGGUGUCUUAUCAGACCAGGGGAACCUGUCUCCUAACUCGAUACUCCACGAUAGCCCUACCCUUUCUCGACUAGCAGCUUGUGUACUGCCGUCGUAAGCACACCUCUAAAAGCAUUCGUGAGUGUGCAAGUAUGAUUAACCUCAUUUACGUCAGGUCAAAGUGCAGCCUAUGACAGGGGGACGAUGGGUUACAAACUAAAUAUAGAUGCCAAUUAGAGCUUUAAAACCUCUAUAAAGAUGGACUUGGGUGUAAUAGUAAUCCAAUAUUACAAUGAAACUGAAUCUAAGACAUGUACACAUCGCCCGUCACUCUCGCCCAAAGGUGGGAUAAGUCGUAACAAAGUAGGUGUAACGGAAGUUGCACCUGU